rnacentral:rRNA from 1 species
GACGAACGCUGGCGGCGUGCUUAACACAUGCAAGUCGAACGAAGAGCGAUGGAAGCUUGCUUCUAUCAAUCUUAGUGGCGAACGGGUGAGUAACGCGUAAUCAACCUGCCCUUCAGAGGGGGACAACAGUUGGAAACGACUGCUAAUACCGCAUACGAUCUAAUCUCGGCAUCGAGGAUGGAUGAAAGGUGGCCUCUAUUUAUAAGCUAUCACUGAAGGAGGGGAUUGCGUCUGAUUAGCUAGUUGGAGGGGUAACGGCCCACCAAGGCGAUGAUCAGUAGCCGGUCUGAGAGGAUGAACGGCCACAUUGGGACUGAGACACGGCCCAGACUCCUACGGGAGGCAGCAGUGGGGAAUCUUCCGCAAUGGACGAAAGUCUGACGGAGCAACGCCGCGUGAGUGAUGACGGCCUUCGGGUUGUAAAGCUCUGUUAAUCGGGACGAAAGGCCUUCCUGCGAAUAGUAGAAGGA